UCACAAUCUGAACCACAAAAGUCUUUUUAUUCAUAAUAUAUAAUUUGCAAUACAAUUAAGAAGCAUAUCUUUUAUUUGAUUUACAUUCACAUAGACAUAAGUACGAUGGUCUUGUCUUGAACACAACAUCAUAAGUAACAUAAAGCAUUGAAGUGCAAGAGCAAAGACUACUGAUUCAUUGCUAGGAAGUUGUAAACAUGACAAUGCAAGAAAACACAAAGCAGAAUCUCUUAUUAUUUAAGCAGUAAUAAGAUAAGAGAGGAUAUUGCAUGUUCUAGGCAUGGUUGUUGUCCUCCACUGGAGGAUACUUCCCAUAAGGUGGUUUCUUGUAUGGUGGCUUUUCGUAUGGUGGCUUGUAGUAAGGUGGUUUUGGCUUGUAAAUAGGAGGCUUGUAAAUUGGAGGCUUGUAAAUUGGAGGCUUGUAAUAGAUGGGAGGCUUGUAAAUGGGAGGCUUCUUGAUUGGUUUGUAAUAAGUAGCAAAACCUUGAGGAAUGAGGAUUAGGGCAGCAAGAACAAACACCAGAAAGCUUGAAAAGGAAGCCAUGUUAAAGAUUGGUGUGCAUAACAGACUGAGUAAUGUGUUCAUAUAUAUAGUAGUUAGGAGGGGUCAUUGUAGGUGUAAGGUCUAAAUCUAGGUCAUUAAUGAUUUGCUUUGUCAUAUUAUGGUAUUUGCCAAAGUUCGGUGUGAUUAUUCAAAAUUGAUUUAGAAAUUAUACAUUGAUAUACACAAAUAUUUUACAUUCAUUUAAUACUUGUUAUUUUUUACUCAAUUGUGCUAAAAAAUAUUUUUUAUAGUAAUUAAAAUCCAUGAGAUAUAAAAAAUGAAGCAGUGACACUAUUAUAGAUAUGAAAAGUUUUUUUAUUUGGAUUGGACUUAGAACUGAUGUAAAAAGUGGCUCAGUAACAAAAUUGUAAUAAAUUACAAUUUUUUUAUACCAAUUACACUCAUAAUUGAAUAGAAAGUCGAUUUUCUAUACUAGUUAGACUUAGAACCGAUAUAGAAAGUGUGGUGGUAACAAAACUAUAAUAUUAAACAAACUUUUCUAUAUUCAUUGCAAUCAGAACAAAUAUAGAAAGUUGUUUUUCUAUCCUGGUUAGUCAAUAUAACCGGGAUAUAAUAUUUAAUAUUCAUCUCCUUCUUCUUUUUGCGCUUCAAUUUCGCAAAACUCUUUUUCUUGUUCUCUCUAUGCUUCACCUUCAUUACUUUUCGCUCUCUCUGUGCUUGGCUUCCAUUCAUUCUUGGUCUCUCUACGUUUCCAAUAGUUCACUAAAGUCGCUUGUGCUAUCGUUUGUGGUUGUUGUUUUUGUCAUCGCUGUGGUCGUUGUUUGUUGUCGAUUUUUUAGUCGCGGUGGUUGUUGAAGUUAUCACUGUUGUAGGUCAAGUUGUGGUUCAUCUUUGUCAUCAAUGGUUGGUAUUGCAGUGCCUAUUUUCAUGGAGGUUGGAGUCGUUGUUGUGGUGUCAUUGUUAUCACUGCAUUUUUUCUUCCUCUUGCGUUGAAGCUUUCUUGGUUGCGUUGUUGGUGUUGUAGUAGUGUGGUGAGUAACACUAAAGCUUCCUUGUGUGGUAUGGUAGGUCGUUGCACGUGGUGUUUUUUUGAUCGUUUUGUUGUGGUUCUUGGCAAAUUUUAAACCUUAAUUUACUAUUGUUGAGGAUGUUGUGUUUUGACGUAUUUAUUGUUACAUUGCAUUCGUUGGGAGGAAAAUUUAAUAUUGUGAGGUUUUCCAUUUUUUGGAGCUUUCCAUGUUUGUGUUAUUGCAUUCAAUUGGUGUGAUUACUCUUUUGUGUUAGAAUUUAUGAGAAAAAAGUGAGGUAUAAAAAUCAAUAGGUUUGAAUCUCUACAAAUGAUGAGGCUGCAAGUGAGUAGAUUUUUGGUGGUGAUCAAAAUCACCAAAUAAGUUGUAGGCAAAAGAAAAAUGGAGAUCAAUACGAGUCCUAAUUAGAAAGACUAUUUGGGAAUGAGAUAUCAAUCUCUUAAAUACGUUGAAGUGAAGCGUAUUGAACUAAAUCCAUUGAUUAAUUCUUUAUGUUGUGGUUUGGUAUGACUAAGUUCACAUAUUGGACUCAUGUUUAACUGUUUCUUAGAUCUACCUAAAAGUAGAGGUGUUGGUUUUUACAUAUAAUAAUGGAUAGGUGUUGAAUAAAUUUUAUACGCAUAACAAAUGAAUAUGGGAGCAGAGUAGAACAAUUUCUUGAGUUUGCAAAGACAAGUGUUCUAGACAAUAACAAAAGAUUUUAUUGCUCAUGUGUUAAUUGUUUGAAUGGAUGAAAACUAUCAACUGAAGUUCUUUGGGAGCAUGUUGUUCUCCUAAAGUUACACAAAAUGGACAUGACAUAGUGAAUUAAUAGACACACCUAGUGCAUCCAGAAUGCACUAAGUAUACUUUAUUGUCAAUGGUAUCAAAACACUUUGGAGUCAUAUUAUAUGCAUUUGGAGUCAUAUAAUAUGCAUUUGCAUUCUUAAGAGAAGAUUCUCGUGAUUCUUGGAUUAUAACACUGAUUCUUAUCAAAGAUUAACAUCUUUCUGGAGAACUUUCACUCGACUUAUUAAUCUGCUAGAUUGUGGCUUCCCUAUCCUUGUCUCAUUCUGCAUUCUUCUAUGAUUUAUUCAAGAGAUAGUCCUCUAUUAUACCUUUUUUUCUUAAAAAGAAUUUUUCCUCAAAUUUGUAUAACUUAAAUAUUCCUUAUCAUUUUAAGAAGUUAGAACAACUAGAAAAUGAGGUUGUGGUCAUAUUAUGCCUAUUAGAUAUGUACUUUACACACACGCAGACAAGGACACACACACACAGACUCACAAAUACACAGUCACACACACAAACACACACACACACACAUAAACACACACACACACACAUACAUAAAUGGACAUGCGCGCGCACACACAAAGACACACACACCCAGAAACACACAUACAUAGACACACACACACCCACAAACACACAUACAUAGACACACACACACACACAAACACAAACACACAUACACACAAACAUAGACACACACACCCACAAACACACAUACACACAAACAUAGACACACACUCCCACAAACACAAACAUAAACAUACACACAAACACACACACACACACACAAACAAAUUGACAUACAGAUAGACACAUACAGACACACAAGAAGUCAUCCCAAAAGAAGUCAUCCCCUUCUUAAGUGCUCAUAAAUAUAUUGUUAAAAGAAAGAAAUAAUCCACGAAUACUUCAGAAGUUGGUUAUUAAUGAGCACAACAAAACCUUUUUAAAGUGGUUCAAACAACAUGUUCAAGCUUACCAUACAACCUCUGACACAUUAAAUUGAAUACCAAGUGAACCAAACUUUGAUGUCAUAUGUUGGAGUGGGUAUGAUAUGAAAAAUUAUACAUUUCAUACAAAGAAAAUGAAAAAAAAAACACCACUCACAAUAAUGGAGUAAUAGUUGUGGUUGAGUCAAUGCAUUUCUUGAGUUCAAAGGAUAAAAAUCCUUUUAUGGCAUCAAUGUGCUACUUUCGUGUUAUGGAAGAUAUUUGGGUGAUAGAUUACACAAGUUUCAGAGUACUUAUUUUUAAAUGGGUUGAUUGUAAUAUUGGCAUAAGGACCAAUGAUCUAAGUUUUACAUUGUGCAGAUAUUACAAUUCUUGUUGCUUUCUUGAUGCCUUGGAGAUUUCUUGAGACCUUUGAAUGUUUCUUGUUGUGUACUUGUACUUAAACUCAAUGCUUUGUUAGAAUAUUGCAAAUGAAAUUCGUAAUGAGACAGGUUUCAAUAUAGAUAUAUAUAGGAUAUGACAUUCUGGUGUAGUUUAAUUGAUUAGAUAAAAACCUUAAUCGAUUAAGCCGAAGUUUAUGUUUCAAUGACAUUAUGGUGCAGUUUAAUCGAUUAGGUAAAACCUUAAUUGAUUAGGCCAAAGUUUCUGUUUUAAUCGAUUAGGUUAUUAAUGUUAUCAAUUAAAACAGACAAUUUUGUCAUUUUUUUCUUCUUAUGAGUUCUGACAUGCUUUAACUGAUUGCUAACUAACAUAAUGGAUUAAUAGCAUCAAAAUUGCAGAUUGUAAACUGUCUAACCCAGUUACAUUCAUCUAUACAUGAUAUAUGUAUCUAACAUGAUUUUCCUAUGAUUUUAAACAUUGAUCCAUCAAGAAAGAACAUAUGAUUAAUUCAUCAUCAAAAACAUUUUACCAAAUUUAGAAGGGAAAAGCUCCCCCUUUCAACACUAACCGGUAUAAAAAGUUACUUUUUAUAUACAAAUUUAUCUCUUUCCUAAUAAACUUUUUAUAUCGGUUUCAGAUUCAGUAUAAAAAGUCAAAUACUUUCUAUACCGAUUCAAAAACUGGUAUAAAUUUUUUUUAACUCAUAUAAAAAAGCUUUUCUGAUAUAGUGACUCUUCCUUUUCUUUUUAAAAUAUAAAAGUUUAUGUUUUUAAGACUAUUUUAAUCUUAUAAUAUGUGUCAAAUGAAUAUAAAUGUAUCUUAUCCUACUAUGACUUGAUUUAGACCCUUUAGUCUUGUGUGGCAUUGUUGCAAAUCAAGAAUCUCAACAAAAUCUAUAUAUUUAUCCAUAAAGAUCUCUAAAGAAAUAUAUAAAAAAGGAAAACCCAAAAAUUAAUUUUUUUAUAAAUUACAAUAAUUUAUACGAGUUAGAAAUAAAAAAAAAAAUUGGUAACAAAGUUUUUUCAAUCAGUUUAAUCACUAAUUUCAUUUUUCGUAUUUUUUGUUUUAAAAGUUCUUGAAGAAAGAACUCGUACAAGAUUAAAUAUAUUUUUAAAAUGUAAAUUAAUUUAUGUAUACUAUACACAUAUAUACAGACUAUAUUACAUUUUGAUUUAUAUUUUAAUGAUAAAUUAAAAGUAUUAUUUUAAUUUAUUUAAAUACGACUACUAAUUUAAAUUCAAACAGAAAAAAUUAAAUAUAGUGGUGUUCCUUUCAAAUUAAAUUGAAACAUUCGAAACUUUUAAAUAUUAUUAAAAAUAAAAUAAUAUAUACGUUAAAAGAAGUUCUAUGAAUGUUUCUAAUCCAUAGAAUUUUAUAUGGUUUAUGAGUUGUUUUUAUCUUGUGAAUUUUUUUAAUAAAGGAUUUAUUUCAGCUGUCAGUUUUUUUAAUCCAAAUUCAUAUGGUGAAAUCCUAUAAAAUAAUACUAUAAAAUGCACUAAGACGUAUCUAAUUAACCAUAAACAUAAAGGUCUUUUUAUUCAUAAUUUUGUAGUACAAUUAAGAAGCAUAUUUUUUAUUUGAUUUACAUUCACAUAGACAUAAGUCUGAUGGUCUUGUCUUGAACACAACAUCAUAACUUACACAAAGCAUUGAAGUGAGCAAAGAAUACUGAUUCAUUCAUUGCUAGGAAGUUGUAAACAUGACAAUGCAAGAAAACACAAAGCAGAUUCUCUUAUUAUUUAAGCAGUAGUAAGAUAAGAGAGGAUGUUGUUGCAUGUUCUAGGCAUGGUUGUUGUCUUCCACUGGAGGGUACUUUCCAUAAGGUGGUUUCUUCUUGUAUGGUGGCUUUUUGUAUGGUGGUUUGUAGAAAGGUGGUUUUGGCUUGUAAAUGGGAUGCUUAUAAAUAGGAGGCUUGUAAAUUGGAUGCUUCUUGAUUGGUUUGUAAUAAGUAGCAAAACCUUGAGGAAUGAGAAUUAGGGCAGCAAGAAGUAACACCAGAAAGCUUGAAAAGGAAGCCAUUUUUAGGGUUGGUGUGUUAGCAGACUGAGUAAUAUGUUAGUAUAUAUAGUAGUAAGGAAGUUCAAUGUAUUAUGUAGGUGUAAUGUCUCAAUCUAGGUCAUUAAUGAUUUGCUUUGUCACACUUUGAUAUUUGCCAAAGUUUGGUGUGAUUAUUCAUCAUUGAUUUAGACCCUUUGGUCCCAUGUGCCAUUCUAGCAAAUAAGAACCUGGACACAAACUCUAUAUUUAUGCAUAAAGAUCUCUAAAGAAAUAUAAAUAAAUAACAGAAAAUUAUAUAUUUUUUAUGAAUUAAAAAUAAGUUAGAAAUACAAAAUUUGAUAACAAAGUUUUUUUCAAAUUAGUUUAAUCAUUAGUUUCAUUUUUCAUAUUUAAAUAUAUUUUUAAAAUGUAAUUUAAUUUGUAUUAGAUUAGAUUUUUAUUUAUAUUUUAAUGAUAAAUUAAAAGUAUUAUUUUAAUAUAUUUAAAUACAAGUACUAUUUUAAAUUCAAAUCCGUUACAGGCAAGAUUAAGUAUAGUAUUGUUUCUUUCGAAUCCGAUUGGAAAAGGCAGAAACUUUGAAUUGGAAAAAAUCAAUUUGAGGGGACACUCCUUAUCUUGUGAGAAACUUCAUAACACUUAUGUAAUAAAUGCAAAACCCCACAAGCCUUUGCAAGUUGAAACAAUUAUAAAUGGUAAAGUUAAAAUGAGUUGUAUUUGAUUGCGUGUGGUGUGCAAUCGUAGCAUGUGUUCUGUCUCAAUCAAGAUGUUGAUGACCACGUUAUAUGAACAGUACACUGUUAUAUGAAGAGUACACUGUAAUUUUAAAAUGUUCAUUUUAUUUACUUCAACUUUUUUUCAAAACUAGAUUGUGAAAAUGGAUCAUCUAUCCGAUCCGAUUCGACUUACUACAGGUUAGUCAUUGAGUUAACUCAAUUCAGUUUAUUUAAUAGUGAGUUGGAAAAAUUUUAAUUUGGUCUUACUCACUACAAAUUAGUGAGUCAAAUGGAUUGGUUCACGCAUUCUCUUAAUUACAAUUUUUUUAAAUAAAAAAAAUUACAAACUUUUUUAAUUCAAAUCUAAAUAAAUUUCACUCCUAAAACAAUGUUAAACUCAAAAAAAUUCAAAAGAAUAAAAAAAACAAAAUAAUCUUUCUUGAUAUACUAAGGAGAGUAUUUUGUAAGGUUUCAUAAGAUAAUAAAUCAAUAACAAUAAAAUAAAAUUAGAUGUGUUGGUGAGCCAAUCCAACUCACCACAGGUUCAACUCAGAUAAGCCAAGUUGAAAAUUGACUCGCAUAAAAAAAAUACAUUUUUUUCCAAACCAAACCCAUGAUAAACAGAAUUUACUCGAAUCUAUUUUCACAUCUCUAUUCAAAACUAUCAUUAAGAAAUAUAGGUGCAAUAGGAAUUAUAUUACUGAACCCAUCUUAGAAUUCAAAGUUUUCUUAUGAAUUUCUGAUAAGUAUGUGAAAAAAAAAUUAGGGUUCUGGUUCUUAAUAAGAACGGAUAGGAGCAGUCUCAAUCCGAUUACGAGAUCUACAACUUUUAACGUUUCUUUCGUCGAAAAGAUACUGAAUUAGUGUUGUCAUUCAUUAAAAAAAGUAUCACGUGAAUGAUGAGAGUCCUGGAGUAUGAGCUCAACUUAUAAAUUAUAAAAUAUUACAAUAAAAAAAAAUGAAAAGACACGCAUGUAUGAAUAAUUGAGAUAAUUUAUGUUUCUAGUGAAAAAUAAAGGAUAAAAUUAGAUUAAGAACUUCUUCCAUUUCUUAACUAUUUAUGCACAUAGUGGAUUCAGUUUUAUCAUUGAUUUUAACUUUUAAGGUAUGUGUGAUUUUUUUUUCAAAUAUAGAAAUAGUUGAUAAAAUAAAAAAUAAGUAUAAGAAACAAAAACAUAACACUCUAACGCUUUGGUAACAAUUUAUUGAUAAAGAAUGGUUAAAUUAUAUUGCUAGUAUGUACUUACUGAAUUUUUUUAUUGUUGAUUUAUGUGAUUUUUUUUAUAAUUAAUAAAGAUAAAGAUAUUUCAAAUUGAUUCGGGAUAAUAUUGAUGUGAUAUCUUAAAACGUUAUAAAAAAGUUUUACUCUCAUAAUAUAAAUACUAGUAAAAAAAUAUUUAAUGCAUCUAUUACCUUUUGGUUUUCAUGAAACUUAAAAUAAAAAGUCACAGUGACAUUUUAAUAAUUUUUGCAAGUAUAUAGGAUUCGGUUAAAAAAAACUCAGGUCAUAAGCUUACUUUUGGCGUUGGUUGUUCUCACACUGUUGUUAUAGAGUCCAUUGAAGACUUUUCAAUUAAUAAACUUUUGAUACAAGACUUUUGACUUCGGUUCUCUACAGAACCACCAUCGUAGAGUUCUGGAAAAUUAACAAUUUAAUACUUUUUAACUGACAAACUUUCUGGACAAGUUUUUGGUCUCGGUUCUCUAUAGAAUUAUUGUCAUAGGAUCUUAUGAAACUGACAACUUUUCUAGACAGAACUUUUAGCCUCGAUUUUCUGCAGAACCGCUAUCAUAGGGUCAUGACGUUGUAGGUUGUCUUUUCAAUUGGUAAUCCUAUGGCCACGGUUGUUUUAAAACUUGUGUCAUAGAAUCUUUAUGCUUCAGUUAUAUCACAAACUGAGGCAUAAAGUUUGAAACAAAUUUCAAAAUUUUCAGUGAAAAUAUUAUUUUUUUAUUUUUUGGAAGGCUUUAAGUAACGAUUAUUUGUAGAACCAAAACCAUAGAGCCCUUAUUGCUUUGAUUAGUAGAAUAAUCGAGGUAAUAUGUGUUCCUAGGGUUAUAUUUCGUGAAAUAACAAAGCCUUCUCUUGCACAUCUUCACUUUCUCUUUGGUUAUUCUUCUUCUUCUCUGCUAUGAUGAUGCUUACAAUGACCAGCACAUGUAUUUUUUUUCUUUCAUUUUACACAUGCCUGUUGAUUAACUACUUUAGGGAUAAUUUUAUUUCUUUUUGACCGAUUGGUUUCGUGUACAGGUACUUUUUUGUUUUCACCAAUUACUCUUUUUUCGUCACGACGUAGCAAUUUAUUUCGGCACUGAACCCACCUUCAUUCAUGGUUAGUUUCGUUUUGGGCUUUGAUUAACUUUCGUUUUCGUUUUUUGAACUGGUUUGUUGUUCAUACACCAUAGGGUAAAAAUAAAAAUAUAUCCAAAUGAAUUGAAAAAUUUUCCAAAGUACCAAAAUACCAUGAAAAGCUCCCAAAAAAAAAUGUGUCAAAAUUCAAACUGUAAAUAUGUGAAAUAUUUUUGCAAAGUUUGAAAAAAAUAAAAUAAAUUGACGAAAAAUAGAAAACGACUUUUUUUAAAACAAAAAAUCUAAAAGGAACAGUCAUCUGCUCUGGUUGCCAUGGUGUUGGAAAUUUAUUUCAUAAUAUGACCAAAUCGACUAACCGGAACAAAUGUUAUGAUAGUUUAAAAGAUCUAUGACUAUUUUUAUUUUUAUUUUUUUAUUUUAAGGGUCUAUAUUAGCGGUUUCUAACAGAACCAUUGCCAAAAACCCAAUUUAUUUUUAACUUUUUUGGGUUAAUGUUUCGGUUCUUUUGAACCAAGGUAAAAUCAUGACCCUUUUUGCUUCGGUUGUUGACUGAGGCCAAAAACUCCUCUUUUUUAUUUAGUCUGAAUAUACCUAGGUUCGAAAAUCAUUGUCAAAUGUCGAAAAUAACCGUUGUCGUAACCCUUUGCUACAUUAGUGAGAAUGUAUGGAUUUAGGGAACUCGAUUUGGUUUAAUGUUGUGUCAUCAAUUAAAAUUUUGGUUCUUUGGAAGCUUUUGUGCGGGUGUUUUUUGAGGUUCAAAAAAGGAAUGUGGUUUUAUACUCUAUAUGUUCUUUAUGUGGGAAUAAUUUUAAGUUUUUCUCUCAUUUGUUCUUUCAUUGUUCUAUUGUUAUGCGAUUAUCGGAACGAUUGAUGAGAGUUCAUCAAUUGUAGCAAUUUUUCUCUUUGAAUUUGAUUGUUUAAUUUAUGAAGUCUUCUUAUAGUCCUUUAUUUAAACUUAUUAAAGUGAUUGUCAUUAUUGUAGUUAUCUAAAAGAUGUAGAGAAUAUUAUAAUAAAUCUCAGGUUCUAAUUCUUUUUGUCCUUAUUCUUCAAAUUAAGGAAUUUGUGUUUAUAACUAGAAACAAAUGUAAUAAGCAUAUGAGUAAUAAUUUCUUUGAUAUUUUGGUAUUGAAAUUUUUUAAUAUUCCAACCAAGGAGGCUAGAAUGGUUUCAUUUUUGAAUGUUAUAUGGCAAGUUUCACUUGUUAAAUAAUUUAAGGUUUAUAAUGAUAUGUUAAGAAAAAAUUGUCUAAAGAGACUAGAUUGUUUAGCAACUCAUGUUUUGAAGUUUAACAUACAAUAAUUAACGAAAUAUCAUUUAGUGAGUAAAGCGUUUAAACAAUGUGCUUACUAAAAACAACGUUGAAUGAAAUGAGUGUUUUAUAAACUGACCAUCAAACAACGUUGGACGAAAUAAGCAUAUAUAACAUUUUAUGAAAAUAUUGUUUUCUUGCCUAUAUCGUCUAAUAGACAAUGUUUGAUAAACAACGUCUAACAAAAGAAAACGUCUAAGUGUAUGCUUAACGAAACACUAAAGCUUGAAAUUUUAUAUAUAAACAGUGUUGAAUAGAUAAAGUGUCUCAAGAAAAAGAAUCGUCUAGGAAAAACCCACUAAACAUCGUAAUGAAACUUAAGCAGCUUUAUGAAAUAAGCAUUUAACAUUCAUAUCGACUAAAAGAUCAUAUAUUAAACACUAUUUGAAUUUUGUGACUCAAACAGACGUGGUUGAAAGAGUUAAAGCUGUUAAAUAAAAAUAUAUUCAUAUUCUAUUUUUUAGGAGGAUUUUAGGCAUUAUUUAAUUAAUUAUUUUAGCAUAUAUUUUUAAAAGUCAGUUACAAAUUAUGUAGUAUAAAUAUUUACUGUUUAUGCUCAAUAAAAGAUAUCAGUUUCCCUUUUAUUAUUUUGUCACUUAUACGCUAAAACUCAACAAUUGGUAUCAAGAGCAAAAAGGAUCUUACGGGAUCUGUGAUAUAACCCAUAAACACCUACAACCACAAAAUAGCCACCACACACAUAAAAUGAAAUCUCAAACCUCAUUUACUACGGUUUCUAUACCUGUAUUUGAUGGACAAAACUAUCAAAUGUGGGUUGUCAAAAUGGAAGUAUCUAGAUGCUAACGAUGUAUGGGAAGAGGUAGAACAAGACUACGAAGUGGCUCCCUUGCCAGAUAAUCCUACAAUUGCUCAAAUGAAAAAUCACAAAGAAAGCAGGCUUCGAAACUCUAAAGCCAAAUCAAUUUUGUUCACAGUUGUAUCUCCAGUCAUUUUCAACAAAAUAAUGACGUUGAAAACGGCAUAUGAAAUCUAGAACUUUUUGAAGGAAGAGUAUGAAGGCAAUGAGAGAGUCAAAGGAAUGCAAGCUUUGAAUCUGGUUCGAGAACUUGAGAUGCAGAGGAUGAAAGAUUCAGAGACAACCAAAGAUUAUGCGGACAAGCGUCUCGGCAUUGCAAACAAAAUACGUCUUCUAGGCAUUCAGAUUCCUGAUUCUCGAAUUGUUCAAAAAAUACUUGUAACAAUUCCAGAAAGAUAUGAAGCCACAUUGACUUCCUUAGAGAAGUCAAAAGAUCUUUCUACUAUUACCUUGGUAGAACUUUUGGCAGCACUUCAGGCUCUAUAACAAAGAAGACUCAUGAGAGAAGAAGGUGAUAUUGAAGGGGCUUUGGCAGCUAAAUUGCUAAAAAAAGGGUCAGGAAGUUUCAACCACAAAAAUGAUAACAAAUCCUCUAAUGUUUUUCCAUCAUGUCCUUUUUGUAAGAAAAACAAUCAUCCACAUACAAAGUGUUGGUGGAGGCCAGAUGUGAAAUGCCAUAAAUGUGGACAAUUAGGGCAUGUGGAGAAAAUAUGCAAGUCAUCAGAAAAACAAGAGAAUGUACAAGCCGUGGUUGAAGAUGAUGAAGAAGAACUUUUUGUUGUUUCUUGCUUUGCUACUGCAAGAUCAACAGAAAGUUGGCUAAUUGAUAGUGGUUGCACGAACCACAUGACUUACGAUCAAGAAUUAUUCAAAGAUCUUGAUACAACCUACAACACAAAUGUCAGAAUUGGAAACGGAGUAAAAAUAGAAGUUAAAGACAAAGGAACCAUCGCAAUCAAAGGUUGCACAGGUUUGAAAUUAAUUAUUGUUGUUCUAUACGUUCCUGAAAUUGACCAAAAUUUGUUGAGUGUUGGCCAACUUCUAAAGAAAGGCUAUAAAGUUCUAUUUAAAGACAAAUCAUGCAUGAUUAAAGACUUAGAUAAUAAAAAAUUAUUCAGAGUUCAAAUGAAAGGCAAGAGCUUUGCCUUAAAUUUGAUUGAUAAAGAGCAAUUUGUUAUGCCCAAGGUUGAAGACAACAUGCAGGUACAAGGGUUGCCUGAAUUGGAAGAGAAAUCACCUAUAUCCACAACUUUGCAAUAUGGAAAACAAACGAGGUUGCUUUUUCCAAAAGACAAAUCUUGGAGAGCAACAAACAAGUUGCAGUUAGUACAAACAAAUGUUGCAAGACCUACAAGAACCUCAUCUCUUAAUGACAAGAAAGUAAAGCUAGUGGGUGUUAAAGUUGGUUAAAGUAAAAUUAAACCAGAAAAAUUACAGGAAGAAAAGCAUCCUAAGACAAUUCUUCCCAAAGCAAAAGCUGAAAACGCAGAGCAACAAAGCAAUACUGAAAAGGUGAAAGACACAGACAACUCAAAGUUAGACGCAGUUCUUGAAAAGAUAAAGAAACCAGGAGUGGUCGAGAAUUCCAAAGUGGAGGAAAUUUAGAUGAUACGGUCAAGGAUGAAAAGACUUAAAGUAUGCUGACUUUGAGUCAAGGAGGAGUAUUGGAAUUUUGUGACUCAAACAGCAUGUGGUUGAAAGAGUCAAAGUUGUUAAAUAAAGAUAUAUUCCUAUUCUAUUUUUUAGGAGGAUUUUAGGCAUUAUUUAAUUAAUUAGUUUAGCAUAUAUUUUUAAAAGUCAGUUACAAAAUAUUUAGUAUAAAUAUUUACUGUUUAUGUUCAAUAAAAGAUAUCAGUUUCCCUUUUAUUAUUUUGUCUCUUAUACGUUAAAACCCAACAAACACUCUACUUCCUAAACGAUGUUUUUAUCAAACGAGAUUACAUGUGUAAAUAUGUUUUAAAUACGCAAUGUGCAUAAAUGAUUACAAACAUUUAAAACAUUUAUUGCAUGUAUGAAAAGUACAUUUUUGCUUGUAUGUCUUGCUCUCUUUAUCUCUAUAGAUAAUGACACUACCAAGCUUUACUCAAAAACUCUACACAAUGAUCAAAAAGACGUUAAGAGAUAGGAAGCACAAUAGCUCUGCAACGUAGACCUGAGUCUGACUACUUACCUAAAAAGGUUAUGAAGUUUACAUAGAAGUCAAUUUUCUGUCUAACGGAUCUUUCUCAAAGAUAUAUAUAUAUAUAUAUAUAUAUAUAUAUAUAUAUAUAUAUAUAUAUAUAUAUAUAUAUAUAUAUAUAUAUAUAUAUAUAUAUAUAUAUNAUAUAUAUAUAUAUAUAUAUAUAUAUAUAUAUAUAUAUGAUUGCAUAAAGAGAAGGCAAGAAGAAUACAUGUAUAAGCUUAUUGUUGCAUUGUCUCUACACAUCGUCUCACACUUUCAUUAAAAGAGAAAAUAUUUUCAAGUUUUUAUAUUUCAUUGCGUUGAAUCUAUCCUCUCUUUGAGACUUGCUUGAAUUUGUACUUGUAUCCAAACACACAUUAAUUAUGUUUAUAAAUUCAUAAGUAAAUUAAAUCACUUGUUUAACUCAUUUAAGUUAAAUGAUCUAGUCAAAUUGACUAGUUUGAAACCAAGAAAGGGUAAACUCAUUGGUCCAGUUUGGAUUAUGGUAAACCAUGAGUGGUUGAUAAUACUUAUUGAAACCAAGAGUUUUUUAUAAUACUCGUUAUAAAUCAGGUUUGUCAUUAUAAACUAGGAAUGUCGUUGAUAUGUAUACCAUUAUAGUCCAAAUUUAACCAUAUAUUGGGUGAUAGUAAAAUUAUCAAUGCCAAAAAAACUUCUACAUCGCAUGAUUGUCACACUCACGGACAACCACCCAUUAGCUCUCACAAAUAAGAAAAAAAAAAUUAGCAUAACACACUCAAAAGCUACUACCAUAUGAACUAUCACAUAUCUUUGUUUUAUUUAUAUUUUUGUAUAGGAUUUAAUACUACUCUCACAUUUUUACAAAAAUAAAUCAAAACAUCAUAAAUAAGACUCAAACUCAAGACUUUACCCAUCAACACAAAACUUCUAACCAAACAAAUUAUCACAAUAUUUUAAAAUAAUGAUAGCAAUUUAAAAACAUAUUAUUAUCUAUUAUCUAUUUUGUCUCAUGUAAAUAUUUUUCUUCAGUCUUACAUAAUGCAAUUUGUCACACAAAAUAAAUUUUAAUGUCAUUUAAAAAUAAAUACCAAAACCAAUACUUUUAAAAAUAACCAAACAAAAACAAAGUUUGGACUAAACACCAUUUCCAAUUUUACUUAAUGGACAAAAACAUAUUUUUCCUUUUCAAGCUCAAACUCAUAUUCAUGUAAGUAACAAUUUGUUAGUGAAGUAACUCGAAUUUUGGGCAAAGUGCCAAAUAUUCGUUGCCUUCACCGACAGCCAAAAUUGGUGAAGUUUGAUAUUACGUUCUCAGCGCUAUGUCUCACACAUACUUCCAAAUAUGGAAGAGGUUUCUUCUUCAAGACUUGCCACCAUAAGAUAUUAUUACAUGAUUACAAAUUUUCCACGGUCCCAAAUUAAAAUCAUUAGUGUGAUGAUAAAUAAAUUGAUAUCAUAAGAUCUGUUCAGUUGUUUUAAUGUUGAUGGAGAAUAUAUAUAUAUAUAUAUAUAUAUAUAUAUAUAUAUAUAUAUAUAUAUAUAUAUAUAUAUAUAUAUAUAUAUUCGCAUAACAUGAGUAUAAAUAUGAUUUGAAACUCGAUUUUUUAAAUUAAAUACGAAAAUGAGAAAAGAUGCAUACAUAUUUACAUAAAUUUUUAAAAUAAUUUUAUUUAUUUGAUAUUUUACUUUAAAAUUUAUAUAAGUAUAAUUUAUUCAUUAUCAUUUUGUCAAAAAAUAUUUAAUAAAUAUUUAGAUAAGUACAGGUACAAAUAGGACUAUAUCAUAUUUGACCAAAAUAGAAAUAAAACACAAAAUUUUAUAUUUAUCAAGUAUUAAAGAUAUGUAUAAGUUUUUUCUUUUAGGACAAAAAUAAAUAUAUUAAACUCGUAUAUCUCCAUAGAGGUGAGUCCUCCGUAACCAGUUGUUAAAAUGCUAAAAUAUUUAUUUAGCUCGUAUAAAUAUUAAACAAAAAGAUAUACGAAAAAAUAAUAUAAAAUGAUAGAAUAAUCCCUCGUAAUUAGUUGACUAUGAGUAUCACAAGUUCAAUGAAUAUAUGUAGCCGUUAGGUUCAUAAAUUAAUUGUUUUUAUAUAUAUACUAGUGGAAACUUUUUUUUAGAUGAUUAAUUUAAUUUUAAAAACUAAAUAAAUUUAAAUAAAUAGUGAUUUAAAAGAAUAAAAUAAUAAAAUUAAAAAAUGAUGAAAUUUAAAUUAACUACUUUUUUUUGUUAACGAUUCUAAAAAAAAAUAUUUUUAUGGGUUAUAAGUAUCAUUUUAACUAUUAUUUUUAUUCUCAAAUAAUAUUAGAAGGUUUUGGUAUCAUUGUAGAUAUUUUAUUUUCUCUACAAUUAUUUAACUCUUUCUUAAGGAAUUAGGAGUGGUAAAAUCUUCUACAAAUCAAUUCAUUCGAUUUUUCCUUUUUUUUGAAAGAUAAAUUAAUAUAUUUAAAUCAUAUCUCAUAUAUAUAAAUAUCAUAUUCUAUCAAUCUCGAAAUCUUGAUUCAAAUUCUUCCAUAUUUAAUAAAAGAUGUAUCUUUCUUUAAUUGGAAUAGUCUUUUUUCUUAAAAAAAUGAAUUUUUACUUUUUUUUUCACACAGGAAUUGAAGAAUUUUAUUUUUCUACAUAAUUUAUAUGUAUGAAAAUAUGAAUUUAUUUUUCUUUUUCUAGAUAACAAAUCCUCUCAGUUACAAUUAAAACAUUUUCACGUUUUUUUGAGCAAAUUUUUUUCUAUAAAACAAUAAAACAUCUUAUAAAAGUAUUUAUUAAAAAUUGUUCAUAUACUUUUUUUUGUAUGUUAUUGUGUACGUAUCCUAUGCAAUGUUUUAUAACAUCAUAUUUAGCUAUCUCAAUAUGUAAUCUUAAAUCAUAACUGCAUCGUAACAAAAUAAAAGAUGAAUCAUGACUAAUUGCUAAAAGUGAUAAAAAUCAUACUUCAUCUCAAUACUAAAACACUCCUAAGUUAUGUAUUAUACAGCUAUGUAUGGUACGCUUACAUAUUUUAUAUAUACGUAGUGUUCGUGUACUUACAUAGUGAACAUCUACGUAUUUUACGUCUACAAAUUUUACGUCUACAAAUUAUACGUUUACAAAUUGUAUUUUACAUAUUGUACGUCUAUAUAUUCUGUGCCUACAAAUUGUAAUAAUGAAAUCUAAUGCGAUAACUAAAUUUGAUCCAGGAUUUUUGUACCAUCAAUUUUUUUUUCUUUACCUUUAUUCAUUCUUCUAUCUACUAUUAUCUAUUGUAUGGUAACUAGAAAUUAUAUAGAUAAACAUUCCUAAUUAUCCACAAAAUAAAUGGAAGUAAACAUAUCUAUCAAGCAAAUCGACUAAAAACUCUAGAUAACACAAAAAAUGAACAGAAACCCUUUUGCUAAUGUAUCUUGAAUUUUCUACUCACUAAUAAUUACAUAAUUACCUCCCCAUAACGAAAUAAAUAUAAGCAUAAAUACAUAUGAUAUGACAUUUGCCGAGGCCAAGGAUGGAGAAUAACAUUGUAUUUUUCAAUAACCAAAACGAUCGAUUUAAAUUCAAACUAUUGACUCCAAACGGUCAACAUUACAUCAAAUAGACUGGACUCAAUCCUCUACAAAAGAAUACGCAAGACUCUUCCAGUAUUUCAUUAAUCACUGGCAAACAGGAGUGACACUGUGAAGAGCUCCAUGAUAUAUUUUACAAAAAGAAUGGUUUCAACGCUUUUGAAUGCAUGAGCCAUAUUUCAUUAGAUGAGCAUUUCUAAGACUAUAUCCAGAAAGUGAAACCAUAUUCAGGGCAAAUGUCCACAAUACCUGCUCUACGUAAAUUAGUUAGAACUUGCUUGAUGUUGAUCGAUCAAAACACCUACAGUAGAAACAAAAAAUAUAUAUCAUCAUAAGGGCGUAACUUAAAUAUAUUGUUAGAAACCAUGCGACAAUUCAUAUUGGAAGACAGAGCAACUCAAUACAUUCUAAUUAAAUCUUUAUACAAAAAUAAUAAAGUUAGUAGAAAAAAAAAGAGAAGAUUUCAUUUAAAUCCAAAGUACAUAUCUUAAAUCCAGUUAAAAAACCGUACAAUUUGGUGAGGGUAAGUUUAGAGAACAGAGGUUAUCUAUAGGUCAGAGCAUGCUGUAAGUUUCAAGAUGGUGCUUAUAGAACUCGGACAUACAAUAUUUCAUUGAACUUACUAAGUAUAUUUGGACAAGCUGAUCCAGAAUGACUUCUACCAAGAAAAAAAAAUGACUUAUGCAAGUUAAAAACAAAAACUUAUAAAAAUUAUACGAAAGAUUCUCCGAAUUAGUUAAUACAUAAGAUAAUUUUAAUUUAUAGAAAAGUUUUUCUUUUUUUUCUUUAUACUUUUCUCUUCUAAAAGUCCUAAUCUACACUGGGCGAGAAAUGCAAGUAGCAUUUGAUUCUUCCAGUCUAACUUGUAACCUUAUAAACUUUCAUGGACCAAAUUAAGGUAUUUGGUAAACAAGUUUCCUACAAAAGCUUAUAGCUACCCUAAACUAUUUCAAAUAGCUUAUAAUUUACAUAAGCCUGUAGCUAUUUUUUCCUUCCACUAAUAUUCUUUCUAGUUUAAUAUACUUAUUUUUUACCCAAGGUCUCUUAAUUGUUCACAUGUAACAACUUUUUUAGUUAUUAUUUUAAUUAUUACAUGUUCUCUUUUUAUUAAUUCUUGGGUAUUACACUAUUAACUUUAAAAAUAUAUUUUAUCUUAAAAACCAACAACAAAAAUUUUAUCCUACUCUAUUGUUAAGACAUGCUAAAUGAAUAACAUGACGCCAUUGGGCUAAUCUAAGAUGAUAAUAAUAACCUAACAUGUUUGUCUAUAAAACAAAAAUAGAACACACGAAAAAUUCAUCAUAUAACUCAUGUUACCUUACAUUUACUAGUACUUCAAUAAUUAAUUUUACUAAACAUUUCUUAGUUUUUCCGAACAUAGUCAUAACCCUUUCACCUUUUGUUUCCUGUCAAAAUUUCAAACAAAGAGUUAAGGAACAGAAGUCAAAAUGCAAUAUCACUCAUCUUUCUGCUGAAUCCAUAUUUCCUAACAGAUAUGGGGAAAACACUAUGAACAAACCUUCUGGACAUUCUGAAUUAGUAUACACAGAUCUUAGUUUCAAUAGAUAACUGCUUUCUGCAAAAUCAUGCAAUGAUUUAUAUCCUCGUCCCCCGCCAUCAUCCUCAGAUUCCGCAACAUCCUUAAUUGGCGAUCUUCUACAUUUAUCAGCUUCCUAGUUAAACAUCAACAAAUUGAAACAUAAAUAAUAAUUGCUGAAGAUAUGAUUUAAUUACAUUAAAUUGGAAAACAUGAUAUGAUAUGAUAUGAUCACAUAAAAUAUGGAAAUAUCUGAGAAAAUGUUUUGCAACACUGGUUAUCAAUUUUGUUCCUAAUUAUUGUAUCUCUUCUUCAUUAUAAAUAAGAGUACAAACACGAGUACAAGAUACACAACAAUAAGCAAUCUUUCCAAUAUAGUAUCAUCCAUGACCAUUUUAGUCACUGAUCCCUUGAUAAGCCAUGACUUUUUCCCUAGAGGCAAUGACGCUGUCUUUGCCACUGAGACUUUCUCUUUCAGGUAAACAAUACCCGCUGCAACAUUUUUACUUUCCAGCAACCACCGAGCAUAUUUUGCUCUCUGGCAGCCACCACAUGCUCUGACCAUUUUUGCUACACAGUAGUCACGCCUUCCAAGCACUUUUGCUCUCCGACAACCAUCACAUCCUCAUAUACCAUUUUUGGUCUUCUGCAGUCACCAUAUCCUCCUAGCAACUUUUUCUCUCCAACAGCCACCACGUCCUAUGAAUAUUUCUGCUCUUUAACAGCCACCAUGCCCUCUAAGCAUUUUUGCUCUUCAACAGCUGUUGUGUCCCCUGACCUUUAACACAACCCUGUCAUCAAAGUCGACCCUUCUCUGACAACCACUAUGCUGCUCAACACAUGGCCAACAGCUGCCAUGUGCCACCAGCUCCUUAGCAUAUGACCUUCACACCUGCUCCAAACUGAUGCAUGAAGCUUGACUUUGUCAGCUCCAGCAACAAACUGGCUUAUCUGCUUGCUAAGUCUCUCAAGGAGUCUCAUGUUGAUGAUAUUUAUCACAAGCUUGUCUCAUAUGAAACAUAUGUUCCAACUUGAAGGAGAGUAUUAAAAAUAUGAUUUGAUUACAUUAAAUAAGGAAAUAUGAUUUGAUCGCAUCAAAUAGGGAAAUAACUUAGAAAAUACUUCUCAUUAGUAGUUCUUGAAUUUGUUCGUCACUACUAUAUAUUCUCCAUUAUAAAUAAGAGUAUACUCAUGUGUACAAGAUACACAAUGACAAGCAAUCCUUUCAAUAAUAAUAAAAUCUAAACAAAAGCAACUGAGGAGAAUAUUUUCAGCAACAUAUAUGAAGGACAACAUAAACAAACAACGCAUUCAGAAAGACCUAUCAUCUAAGGUUAAGGUAUUACGCUCAAAUCAAAUGGCGCCAAGUACAAUUUAUAGAGAUUCACCUGUAAAAAGCCUAGCAUUUGCUCUUCAAUUGUACCAUGCAUAGCUAGUGUUUCAACGUGAAUAGGACGAGAAGCACCCAUUCGAUGAGCACGACUAAUUACUUGCUCCUCCAUACUGACAAGAUUUCAAGUCAGAAGAUAAUGAAAUUGGAUAAACAUUCCAAUUUGAGUCAAAGUAGAAAAAUCCAACAAAUUGGUAAACCAAAAGAUUCACUGCCAAUCACUUUAUGCAUCUGCAUGGCUACAGUUGGCAAGUUGAAUUCCAAAACAGAAAAUUCAGUAUUGACAGAUAAUGUAAAUUAACCACACCCUGGACCACAAUUUUAAAUGACUAAACCAUUUAUGGCAAAAAAGUUCACAAAAUUUUAACAUGCUCAUGACUUUAGAAUAUCAAUUUAUUCCUCAGCCAAUAAAAAAUUAUAUCCUUGUUUGUAAAUUAGAAUAGUCAGAUGUAUUAACCUUCUGUCCCAAAUUGGCUCCAUUAGAAAUACAUGCGUAACAAAACUCAAGUCCAGACCCAAUGCAGCACUUCCAUCCAUUAGAAGCGCCAUACAACUUGAAUCAUGCUGGAACGUGGCUAAAGACUUCUUCUGAAAAAGGAAAAGGUAAAUUAACCAAAGGUCAGACACCAAAAGUAAAUUAAAAUUUUCAGAAACAACCAAGAAUUCCAACAUUAUACCUUGUUACUGGAAUGCAUUGGGCUAUACAUUCCAGCAUAUUUGAUACCAGCAAUAGCUAACUGCCAAAGAGAAACAAGUCCAAUUUAAUAGUUAGAUCAUUUGCAAAAGCAUCCACAAAUGCCAAAAAAGUAAAAUAGAAACACUUCACAAAAGACCAUACACAUAAAUGCACCUGCUGUUCAAUGACAUGUAUAUGCUCAAGAAAUUGAGAAAAUAUAAGAACUUUCUCAAGGUUAGAAUUGGUCUUUGUGCUGCUCUUCAAACAUUUUUGAAAUGCUGAUUUAUCAUCACUUCUAUGCAGAGAGAAACUAUUCUCAAUAGGCAUCUCAUCAUUGUUAUUGUCUGUACAGAAGCUAGUCUCUUCGUUGGUUCCUUGCAAGGCUUUCAACUUCUGGACAAGAUAUGAGACUUUAGUACUAGAUGUAGAUUGCCAAUCUGGAUCCCAAUUAUCCUGGGUUCAACAAUCAACAUUGCAUAUUAGCUUUGUAAAACAGAAAAAUGGAAGGAAAAGAUAAAUGUGAAUGCCAACUGAGCUCUUCAUAAACCAUGCCUGCUUAUAUGACGGUUGUAGCUCAAUAAGAUCUUUGGGUACAGGCCACUUUGGAUUAGGAUUUUCAGGUCGGGGAAGUCUACUUUGCAUCUCAUACAAUUUACUGCAGCCAGGAUAAGAACACUUCGUAUGGUCAAUAGAAACACAAUCAAGGCACAACAAAUGCCGACAUGGUGUAAUGACCGGAAGGCGGCACCAUUCCUUGCACCUUCACAAUUUAUUUAGAAUGAUAAGAUUAAUAAGCAGCAACAAGACAAAAAAAAAGAUACAAGAAAAUACAAAACCUAGGUACUACCUGACACAGUGACCACCAUACAAGAGAUUACAUCUUAUGGAGGUAUACUCUCCAGAAGUAGGAUCCAGACCACUUUGUACUAACAUAUCCAUUGUUUCUUGAAUAUCUUCACCAGCAUGUGUAACCUUAAUAUGUCCAGCAACACAGCACGAAAGCCUGACAUUUUUUAUAGUUGCCCUACGAAACUUCCACUGCUUUGGAUUCAGUAGACUCUCAACAUGUGAGGGAUCAUUCCAAUCAGCCAUCAAUAUAUUACGCCUUACAGUGAUUACCAAUUCAUUGUAACUUCUAGCAUGCUCCUCAUUAAAAUCCAGAUAAACAACUUUCUUGAUGCAUGGUGGGAUGCUUUGUAAUUCUGUCUUUCUAGCACUAAUCAUGCAUUUGUGAAGCAGAUCUAACAGACGAGACCUCCCUUCCUCCAUUUCUGCUUCAAAUGGCCUGAGCACACCAGCUUCCCAUGACUUUUGAUUCAGUCCAUAAGAUUCUUCAUGAAGGAACCUUAGCAAUGUUUGCAGAUGUGGAAGUUGGCUGUUAGGAGUGUUAGGUGUAGGAGUUCCUGUUAGUAUCCAUCGAUUAGAAGCUAUCAAUGAAAUGGCCAUUUGCAACUUGUUUGUUAAGUUCAGGCUAGACCCAAGAGUGUGCCCCUCAUCUAAAAUUACCCGAAACCAAUGUACUUGCAUCAAAACACUCCUCUUACGAGGGCCCCACUCUGCACUCAGACGACUAAAAGUGGUUAUGACAAUGUCGUAAUCCCAUGCAAGACAAUGCACAGAUGGCUUCCGGUGAUCAGUCCAAACAUAAAUCCGCAAUUGACCGGGCCUCACAUGCUUUUCUAUUUGUGUUUUCCAAUGAUCAACCAAGUUUGCUGGAACAACUACCAGGGUAGCCCUUGACAAGUAUAACCUGACAAAAUCUAUAGGCUCACGGAGUGCCAUGCCAAGGGCAGCCACAUCAAAAGUCAAAUUGUUAAGAUGUUGAGGAUAGAACCACUUGCACACACCUUUGUCUACUCUCUUUAAGAGGCCAAAUGCUUGAAAUACUUUGUGGAAGGCAUUAAAAUGUCUGCCAGAUGCAGUACACGUGUUUAAAAUAGGACCUCUUAUUCCAUUUGUUUCCAUAGCUGCAAGCUUGUCUGUUGAAAUUUUAGCCAACCAGGCCAGGGCUUUUUUUGUCUGAGAAUUUAUCAGUGAGUAGUGCUCCUUAAGCACGCUGGUGAAAAAAGAAACAUUUUGUCUGUCACCACCAUGAGUCCCUUUUAAGUGAAACCCUGGCAAGUAUGUUAUCCUAGAUGUAGAACGAAAAUGUUGUUCAGGGACACUACAACUUUGAUAAAGAGGGUCAGGGUUCAUACUACAAAACCAUGCUGCACUAGAACUAGCCAUACUAUUGUCUGCCAGCUUUCGCCACUUGUGACAAGCAUCACACUGAAUCCAUGUAUCACUGUACUCAAAAGGAUCACCUUGAGGCUUCCCAGGCAGCUUCUUUUGAGAUAAAUGAGGUGUAACAUCUGAUGCAUGUUUUGCUUUAAUUAAUCCUUCAACUUCUCUUUCCUUGGAUAUCAUAGCUUCCUCUUCAUUUGUGAAGCAUAGGUUUUUCUUUAUGCGGCUCAAACUCCUAGUGUACUGAUUUGAAUGCACAGAUUCCUUAAAGCGUGCCUCCACAGGUGAUUUGUUUACUUCCAUGGAACAUGAACUCUGAAGUUUAAUCAUUUGCUGGUCAGGAUUUGACAUUCUGGCUCUUUUGGAGGAGUAUUCAUGGUUAUCAUUAGUUCUACUGAUAUAUUGGCUCCCGUUCCUUUUACCCAAUGCAGAACAACCAGUUAUGUUAUUACCACAGAUCUCAUAAUAACCACAUUUCUGAUUACCAUUAUGUUGACACCAGACAACUUGUGCCUCUACUGGUGGAUCUGCCAAUGUACCUCGUGUCUUCAUAAUAAGAGAGAGUGCCGUUACAGUCUUACCCAAACCAGGCUCAUCACAAAACAUUCCUCCUCGAAAAUCCCUGAUGGUGGGAGCUUCCCCAGUGACAAUUUCACCAGAAACGGUAUUUACAUGGAAACUAAAACCAUCUUCAGUUGAGAGAAAUGCAUAUAAAGGGUGUGGCAAAAGCUCAGCAUUUCGCUCACGAUGCAACAUCCACUCAACUGCUGCCUGCUGAUGAGGAAACAGAUUUAACUUUGUACAAGGCAUUACAGAAGCAGCCAAUGAUCUUAGAUGACGACACGUUUCAGAAACCCUAGUGAGGUCCAUUGGGUCAAGGGAAGAUAAAAUUUUUGUUAAAAUAUCAUCAGAUAACUCCCAAAUGCCUGCUCUGCAUGAGUGAUCCAUAGGAAUUAUUUUGGAGCUAUUAAACAUCCGCUGUUUUCCUAUGCCAGGUAGUGUCUUGAAAAGUUCAUGAAGUUCAAAUAGGCUUUUCCUUGAAGAACUGCUAACAUGGGGAUGGAGCUUGCAACAAAGUACAUGACAAUCAGAAAGGUUCCAAAAGCUCUCGUUUGCUCCAUGAGUCUUUCUACAAUAGUCUGGAUAUGAAAGCAUUGAACUUCGCUCAUCCCAAUCACAGCUGCAAACAUUUCUAACUGUUAGCAAACUAAAAAGUCAACGACAUGUGUAAAGUAUAUUACACAGGAAAAUGAAGGCAAUAGAUUAGUCAAUUUAAAUUAUUAUUACAAAAUUAUGAGAAUAUAACUGGUGAGUUUAAUAGAGAAGGUAUUAAGUUUGACAAAGGUUAGAAUUUAUGUAAACUCGUGAGAGCUCCAUAAGAGCUUCAUAAACUCAUAAUAAGUUACUUUACAUGAAAAAGAAAAGUAAUAUCCAUAGAUAGCAAAUUAAUGCAACAGUUCAACACGAUAAUUAAGCAAAAUAGUUAAAAAAAUAAUUCCACAAUAGUAAAACAACUACAUUCAAUAGCACAUGACUACUAUAUAAGUAUAAAGCACACCAAAUAAAUAAGUUCAUACAAUGACAAAGCAUAAAUUGUUAAAGUCACAUACCAAUUAAAUAACUAGACAGAGACAUCAUCUAAUGUCAAAUUUCAAUGUCCAAUCCUCUAAUGACAUCAUCAUCUUCAUCAGAAUGUCAUCACCAUCAAACUCUUUCUCACAAGAAAAUUGUGUAUCAAUAUUGGCAUCAAAAGUCCUAUUAUCAAGAUCAAGUGCAUCUAGAAUUGGAUCUCUUGUUGCUCUAUCUAAGUUAGCAUUUCCACGUUCAUCAUCACAUUGAACUUGCUCAAUCUCAACAACAUUAUAUCCCUUUGUAGUUAUCAAUUCAUCAUCAGACAAAAUAUCAUCAAACAAAAGAGCAUCAAUUUUUCUAAUUAGUUUAUUUUUCAAUUUCAAGUUAUACAUCACAUAAACCAAACCAUUCAUCUUUUUCUGAUAGAAACAAUUACUUCUCUUUCUAUGAAUGUAUAAUAAAUAUCAAAUUCGGUAAAUAUAUAAACCAAAUGUAGAAAACUAUAAAUUAUAAAUAACUUCAAUUACUAUUUCAAAUAAGCUCCAAUUAUGCUCACACCCAAAAGAGCUACAAGUCAAACUCAACUCAAAUAGCAAACCACUAUAACUUUGGAGUUCUAUCCCAAGACAUCUCCCACCAUUUUCCAAGAGGCAACACUUUCCUACAAUCCCUCGCAUGUUCCAUGAAAGAAAGUCCUCUAACAUAAUGAAAAUCAGCGAGUUGCAAACUAAUUUCUUUUUCUUUAUGCAACAUCCUUAAACCAAUAUUUUCAUGCAUAUAUACAAAUCCUCUUUCACCUUGGAAUCAUCAUGCCAGGUUCAUAUUCGAAAUACUGAGGUAAUUGGGAAAAAAAGAAUCCAUAUAUGAAACAGAAGGAUCUAGAAUACAACCCGUCUUCGAUUUGAUACCCUUUUUGGUAUUGCUUUUUUCAAUCUUCUUUAUUUAGACUAUUGUCUAAAUCAAAUACCAAUACGUUUAACCUUCCUUUUUGCGGUAGUAGUUGCAUGCAGAGGCUUGUGAAGUUGAUCUUUCCACCUUUCAUCAAUGAUUUUCCAAACAGCUUCAUAACUACUUUCAAUACCAACUAUCCUGUACUAGAAAUAAUUUCACAAAUAAGUAAUUAAAUUUCAAAGAAUUUUUACCUUUUCAUAGUAUUAUUAAAGUAGCACUUAAUCUUCUCUUUUGCACAAUUUAUCUCCUCAUAUUUGAAACCCAUUGUGGGUUUUAUACAUCCACCAAUAUUAGGGUCACCAUAAGAGGGGUAGCAACUUUGAGGUAUGUGGUUACAUUCUUCCAAAACCAACUAUCCAAUACUAUAUUUUCAACUUUUCUCCCCUCAAAGUUCCAAAUUUGCUUGUUUUCCACUCUUCAAAGCUAAACAUGGUCCACCAUGGUAUUUUCAAUUCAGGAAGACAGGCUAGAGUCAUGAGUCGUUACAAAUCUAGUCAUACCCAAUCUUAUCAAGUCUCUUCCUUUUGUGAACUACUUCAACAAGCUAAUUAACAUUGUUUUACAUAAAUGUAGGUGUUGAUCAUUCUUCCCUUUUUGAUAGUAACUUGAUGAACUUUCAAAUUCUUUCCAAAAAUCAAAUCAAUGCUAUGGGGAGCACAUGGGGUCCAACACAAAUGCUGCUUUUUUUCAGCAACAAAUCUCGAACUGCCUUAAAAUUUGAAGCAUUACCAUUUACCUGCACUACAUUUUCCUCUCUCACAAAGUCCACAACAUUAUCUAACAUCUUAAAAAAUUUUCUCUUGCUUGUGAUAGUUUGCAGUAUCCCGUGAACAAAGAAACAUAGUUCCUUUAGGACUACUCACCAAAAAGUUACAAACAAAAACACUUUUUCCUCUCUAACAAAUUGAACUGCUUGCACUACAUUUUCCUCUCUAACAAAGUCCACAACAUCUUAAAAACUUUAUCUUUUGUUUUUUAGAUGCUUGAAGUAUCAAAUGAAUAAAGAAACACGGUCUCUUUAGGACUAUCCACCAAAAAGUUACAAAUAGAACACAUUUUUCAUCCAUCCACCCAUUAGACAUAAUUAUGCAAUUUGUUCUCUUCCACUUGCCAAAAAUUCUUAAAGGACUAAGUCAGUUUUUAACACUGCUUGUUUCAAAAGCUUCUCUAACAUAAUAAUGAGAUGGAGGUUUAUGGCAAACCCCAUAUUUACCAAUCAUUCCAAUUUUUUGGCAAAAGUUGGAUUUUAAUUACGUUGAAUGGAAUGACACUCAGGUAAAAAAAAAAAAAAAGCAGAACCUUGAGCAUCAACUUCUUCUUUACAAGCUUAUAAUCAUUUAAUUUAUAGUUGCUUGAACUCUCGUCUACUACUACUAACUCUUUCUUUUCCUUUAAAACCCAACAUUUGUUGUCUUUCUACAAACCCCCUACUUGCUUCCUAGUCUUCAUUAAUUACAUUCAACCUUCUUUUCUUCAAUAAAGCUUCCUUGGUUUUUGCAACAGCUUCUAUAAUCAAAAUAUUUAUUUCUUCUGAAAAAAAAAACAGCACAAUGUUCAAAAUCCUCUCUGGUUUCCAAUUGAUGUGGAAUCUCCAUUAUAGGGUGCUUGGCUGUUGGGGAGUUUUGGGGCACUCUUGGGUUGUUCUAUCUUCUCUAUGCAUUGGUGCUCGCCAAAGGGGUGCUUCAAAUGUUCCCUGUCAUUAUGAAAUGGCUUUAAAUACAAUAUCAGUGGCAACAAACCCAAAAAGUUUAUCCAAGUGGUGGAAGCAAACCCCCAAAUCUAGUAAUGGAGUGAAGAUUGAUGUGGCAUGGAAGCAUUGUGUUUCAAUUAUUCAGAAUGCAAGAAAAAUAAAGUGUAAAUACUAUGACAAGGUGCUUAAAAGGAGAACUAUUGAUUGAAGAUCAUUGACAAGAACUUUGAAGGAUGUUGGAGAAUGUAGAGUCGUUCCUACAAAGUUAAGAAACUAAUAGGGGAGAGUUCCUCAGUUACAGCAAAAUCUGAAUAAAAUGUCACAGUUCAAUAAAUAAGGAGGUUGUAGCAUUGCUAAAAAAUCUCCUUAUUUUUCAUCUUUUAGGGAAACUUCUUCAAUCUUUUCCUCCCCAACCAAUUGCUUCUUCCUCACUACACAAUAUUGAUCAAAAAGUUGACCUAAUCUUCUUCCUCCCCAAAUGCAAAGAAUUUUUUGACAAACACCCCAAGGAAGGUCCUAAUACACAUUUUCUUGAUACACAUUAAUACACAUUUUCCUAAUAAUAUUUUAAAAAGAAAAAAUAGUGAAUGAUGAAAAAACUUUCUCAUCUUCCGUUACAUUUUUUCCCUGUACAAAUUCUCCAUUGUGCAAUUUUUCCAGAAAAGCAGGGUUUUCCAAGAAAACAGAGCACUCUCAGUGUGACAAUAAUGUUGCUACAGUAACGGAAAUACGAUGAGGAGAAGUUGAGUGGAAUGGAUGAUACAAGCAUCUUCUCUUCCACUAGGGAGGAUUUUGCAGGCUCUUGAUUAAGGCAACACAUGCCAUUGAACUUGUGAUAAACUUCUCCCUAAUUUGUCAGUUUCAACAUCUGAUUCAUUUUUUAUUUAUAUUUAUUUGUCACACCCAAUCUCAUAAUAGUUUCAGCCUAUAAUUUGACUUCAACCUAACUCAACCUCAAAAGUUGAGUUAUAAAAUAAGGUUUAUCUUCACUUGUAUACUAUAAUUUGAUCAUAUCUCUAACCAUUACGUAUGCAUAGCCAACCAAAAUUGUUCAUGUAUCUUUCUAACAAUCUAAAGUUAUUAACAACCAAAUUGCACUAAACCAGUAACAAUUUCCGGAACACAACACAAAGGAAUGCCGAAGCGAGAAGAUGAGAACCUCAAAUGGCGAAAAACCGCGGCGGCAACUGCCCCCGACCGCGGGAACUGCCAGCCACUCCACACUUGAAUAGGAAGAUACACGUCAACCAGCAGCACAACCCUAGGCGACUCGACGCACACCACGCGUGCGUCAACUUUGGCGCACUUGCGAGUGACCAUAGCGUGGAGCUGGUGAACCACGCUCAUGCUCCCAUUCACCAUCCCAACGCUGUGCGUCCUCUUGGUUUUCGAUCCUCCGCCGCCGCCGCCGCCGCCGCAUUGAGACGAAUUCAGCACCGUAGACAAAACGACGCCGGUUUGGGAGCGGAACCCAACCUCGCCCCCGUCGCUUAAGAUUUCGCAGCGCUCAGCGAAGGCUGGAUCGGAGUCCCGCUCAGUGGCUGUGAGAACCGCAAAGAGGAAACCGCAGAGCUUGUGGUCCGCGAAGGAGGUGUCGCUGGACAUUGUGGGAAGGAACCGGAGAGCGUAAACUAGAGCAUAGAAUGCGGUGAUUCAAGAUUUGCACCGAAGACCAGAAAAUAAAAAUGAAGAGAAGAAGAAAAAAUUUGAGGAAGGAAAGAUUAAAGAAUCGUCCACAGUUUUUGAAACGAAGGAAAUAAGAAAAGAUAACAUUGAAUAAAAUGACAAAACGACGUUGUUUCAGUGGGUGAUGAUGACGUUGCUUCAGUGGGUGAUGAUGACGUUGUUUCAGAGUUUUAAAUUACCCUUUUGUCCUUUCUAAAUCCAUUAGAAUGGAAUUUUUUUAAUAUUAAUUCCACUUUUGGUUCUAAUAUAAAAUUCAAUUAAAAAUGUAAUUCUUAUAUGGCUAAUUAACUUCUUUAACUUCUAAAAAUAUUCAACUAAUUCAUUUUCACUAAAUUCGUAUUAAUAUUGUAUACAUACACAUCUUACACGGUUUUCAAAAUUUUUUAUUUUUAACUUGUUUAUCAUAUGUCAGACUGUAUGUAUUGUUGUGUCACCUGACACAUGAUAUGUGACGAUGACAAUUUAAAUUUAUUAUACAUCAACUUAAAAUAUAUAAUAUAUUUGGGAUACUAAAUUUAUAAAUAAGCUAACCAAGUAAAAUACAUUUUUUUUAAUUAUUUUAAAUAUUAAACUUUAAAAAUUAUAAGUCUUAUUUUAUAUUUACAUUUUUAUAUAUUAAAAAAAUAUAAGUUUAAAAUAGAAAUUUCCUUAUUAAAAUUAAAAAUGUAUAAAACUAAAUUAAUUUUAAUGUUUAGAGGAAUAAUUUGAUGUAGAAAUCUUAAAAGCAUUAUUUUAAUAUAUAAAUAUAUAUAUAUAUAUAUAUAUAUAUAUAAUAUUAAGUUUAAUUACUAAUUUUUCUUAUUUUAGUAAAUAAACUUGUUCUAUUAAAAAUUAGUAUUAAAUUGUAUUAAAAUUUUAAAUGUAGAAAAUAAAUUGAAUAGAAGUUAAUUUUAUGACACGACAAUAACUUAAUACGUAACGCAAUUUAACACUUGACAAAAUAAAUUCAAAAAAUAUUAAAACAAAAUUUAAAAUUAAAAAUAUUACAAGAUGUCAUGUAACGAAAAUGACUUAAUUGGAUAUUUUUUAAAAAUUAACAACUUAAUUGCAUUAAAUAAGAAUUACGAGCCUGUUUGGAAUUUUCAAAUAAAUAGGACUAAAUAAGCCAACUUGUGCUAUACAAUAGACUUGCUGAAUAGUGAGUGAAUACCCAACUAUGUGGAUUUCAGGACAAUUCCAGGAGUCAAACAAAUAUAGCAAGUUUAUUAUUAGUAUUUUGAUUUCUGCUUAUUAUUAUUAAUUGAAAUUAUUAUUAUUAUUAUAUUUAAUAUAUAAAUUAAUUUUAAUCUAUAAUAGUAAAUUAGUUUUAAUCCACUUUUAAUUGAAUGGAAUUAUUAUUAAAUAUAUAUCUAUUAUUUCUAAUUUCAUUACUUUUUUAUAAAAUUAAAUUAAAAUUAUUAUUACAAUUUAUUUUAUUACUUAAUUAAUUUUUUUCUAGUUGAGAAUAUUAAUUAUAUUUUCCGUUUUUAUUUUACUUCUUGCUUAAAUUAUUAAUUUUUAAUUAAAAUUAUUAUUACUAGUAAUGUUUAGUAAUAUAUAAAUCAAUUUUAAUCUAUAAAAGUAAAUUACUUUUAAUUCAAUUUUAUUUAAAUGGAAUUAUUAUUAAAUACAUACCUAUGAUUUUCAAUUUUAUUAUAUUCUUUUUUAAAGUAUCUAUUAUUUCCAAUUCACGUAAUUUUAUGAAAUAUUUUUAUUAAAUGGUUUAAAGUAUAUUAUUUAUAGAUAAAUUAUUAUUAUAUUUAUUAUUAUUUAUAGCAUAUCUAUAAAAAUAACACAGUGUGUUAAAAUUGUUUCUUUAAUUAAUUUUGAUAGUUUUGUUUAUUAUAUUUUGUUUGAAGUUUGAACAUUUCAUGUUUAAAAUUGUUCAAAAUUCUACAAAACCUAAUGCUACGUGUCAUCUUUAAAUAUUGUCAAAUGUCAAUAUACCAUCCAACCACUUAUUAAUAUUUUAAGUAUGUUAAAAUUCAUUUUUUAAAUAAUUUUGGUAUUUUUUAUUAUUGUGUUUGUUUUAAAUUUAAAAAAUUACAUUUUGUGAUAGUUUGAAGUGUAUUAUAUAUAGAUAAAUAAAUAAAUAGACAGGUAGAAUCAUCGACAUUAAUCAUUAUUCUUAAAAUUAACAAAGAAUAUCAUAAAAAUAAUCAAAUUGAAUUAUUUUUAAAACUUAAAGAAUUAAUGUCGAAGAAAAUAAAAGAUUAAACUAAACGAAAUCCAAGCUUUCGUUUGGAAUGGAAGGAUCGAAAUAAAAAUAGCAACAUAUAUUAAAAAUCAAAAUUAUAUAAAGACAUUCCAUUUUACUUUAUUAAAAUAAAAUAAUACAGCAAAAAAUACGAAUACAAUAACGUUGAUUUGGACUUGUAUUUUUUUAAUCUAUAAUUAUACAAAAAUAAUCAAAAUGAUUGUAUUUUUUUUAUGCAUAUUUCACUUUUGUAACAGUUUAUUUAAAUUUAAUUAUUACUUUUUAAAUAUUUAUUUAUUUAAAUUUAACUAAUUAAUUUUUUCAAACUAUUAAAUAAUAAACUACCUGAAAAAAAGGGACACACAUUCCCGACGGUUUUUUUUUUUUUUUUUAUCUCAGAUCAAAAGGAAUAUUAAAGUUAAUAAAACCAAAUUCUGAUUACAGAGAAAAAUCCAAGUUGAAGAAGUAAGUUAAGCGAAAAAUAAACAAGGAAUGGCUAGAGACAGCGUCCUCACUCGCGUGGCGACCGGAGCUGCCGUGGGCGGUGCUAUUGGCGGCGCAGUCGGUAAGAUUGUACCUCUUAUCCUCUGUUUGGUUACCUCCUUCUCACUAAGCCAAACACCGCACAUCUUUCGCUAUCUUCUUCGGUUAAUCUUGUCGAUAUUGAAAUUGGGUGUGUUGCAUACAGGUGCCGUUUAUGGGACUUACGAUGCAAUUAGGUAUAAGGUAUGUGAUUCAAUUCCUCUAUUUAUCUAAUGAUUAAUUGCAAAAGGCAAUUUGCCUCUUUUAUAAUUAGAUUGGGGGCGGUUAUGUCUCAAAAGACAAUGUUGAUGUUUUAAUCAAUGAAGAAUUGGGGGAAAAAAGGUUUGUUUGUUUUGCAUGAAGGAAAUCAUAUUGAAGCCAGAAGCUAUUGCAAUGGGACAUCAAGUUUGCUUCUGAUAUUUUUUUUUAACUUAUCUUAAACCCUAACUAAGUGUAAAAUUAAUGUAAUAUGAAGCUGCUAAUCUAGGGCCUUUGCAACUUCUUUAACUAAUUGUCAUUAUUAAGAGAACAGUUCUGAUGAGGAAUUUAACUGUUGAUUUUUUUUUCUUCUAGUAGAACUGAAUCAGAAUGUGGGCAAAAUGGAAGACUUAUUGAGUAAAUCCUUCUCUCUCUUGACUUGUGUCUCUAAAACACUUCCCCAUCCCAAAGUUUCACUUUGCAAUCAAGAUGAAAUUUAGUAUGUGAGAAUAUCAUUUCUUAGUCUACUGAAGUUAGUUUAUCACCAGUUCAUUACCUGUAGUUCAGUUACCUGAUGGUAAAUAAUUUCUCAAAUCCCCAUUAACCGUUUUAAAUGGAGUUAGAUUGCAGUUAGUUAGGCUUCAUGUACUAUAAAUAUAUGCUGUAAGCACAAACUCGGUACCAAUUUUACUACUUUCCUCAUUUUUCAAUCAACAGAAAGUUGUCUAAAAUUCUGUGUUUUCUCUAAACUCAACAUGACCAGUUAUUGUCAUGGCUUCAAUCUACCUGUUGCAAGCACAAGCUCGGUACCAAUUGUUUAUUUUUCAUAUUUUUAAUGCACAGAAAGUCCUCUAAAACUCUCUCUAUGUCUUCUUUGAACUCAAAAUAAGAGCCAUAUCAUCUACUCCUUAUAGAUCUUCCUUCAGUAAUUUUUUGACAGAAAUGAUUCAAGCUAUAUUUUAUCAUCCUUUACAUCAAAGCUCUUUCUUAUUGAGUUCAUUUUGUAUUUCUGCAUCAACGUAUCUCUCCAACUCCUCAUUGGCUUUCCAAAGUACCUUUGGUUCUGGCUAUUGCAGAUUCUAUCCCUGAACCUUCUGUUUGGGUUUAUUUCUCCCAGUUUCCUAGAGCGCAACCUAUAUAUUGUUGUUUUGGAUGAUUGAUAACUUCUAAAUGCAACCCUUUCUAAAUGCAAUCUAUAUAUCCAGUUCUUAUUAUCUUUUCACAUAGCGUAAUUCGUCGUCUUUGGUAAAGAAUCUACCCAGCACCUCUAAAUGUAGUCCUGACCUCUUCAAUCCAUUAAGAAAAACACUCCCACGAGUUAUUCAGGAUCGGUACUUUGCGAGGGUCUUGUGUAGUGUUGCUCAUGGGAUCCUUGGCAAGUGUUGUGAGGCCCAUUGUCAUAGGGAAAAUCUGAAGAUGAUAAGGUGAUAUACCUUUCCUGAAUGAUAAAAUUCACCUUGUACUGGGAUUUCCUUAUAAAAAAAAAAGAAACAAAUUUCUUACAUUGUAAAAUUAUGCCUAUUAGUAUUAUUUUAUAGUGUGUUUGGAUAGGGAAUUUAAAAAGGGAAAUUAAUCUUUAUAGAGAAUUUGAAAUGUUUUAUAACAAGACAGUGUUUCUCAUCUUGAUUUACAAUGUCGAAGAAAAGACAAGGAUAAUAAUAUACUCAUCAUUUUCAGGUUGUGGGUAGUUGAGUGUAUGCAAUUAUGAUGUUAGGAAGUAUCUUACGAAUUAACUAUUUUAGGGGCUCCUCAGUCCUUGUUGCAUAUGUAUCUAAUAUUCAAAUUUGGAUUACCUGUCAGUCAUAUGCAUGCGCAGCCGCGAGGCAUUUAAAGGAUUUAUCUAUUUAGUCUCUGUUGGCAUAUAUAUGUACACAUAUAUUCAACUGUUUGUCUGGUUUAUCUUGAGAGUGCAAUUGCUUGUAUUUAUGAGUUGAUGUAGCUUCCGUUGUUUAGUUUCUCAUAUUUGAUGUUGAAACCUUGCAGGUUCCUGGAUUCCUCAAGAUAAGGCAUAUUGGACAGACAACUCUAGGGAGUGCAGCUGUAUUUAGCCUGUUCCUUGCAGCAGGAACCUUGAUACGAUCGCACUAGUUUGUGCAGUCAUGGUGACGUGUUUUCUUACAAUUUUAGCCAACAAAAAAAUGUCAUGUAACCUCACAUUCUGUAAUCUUUUGAGUGUUGGAAUUAAAUAAAGAAUUUUUUAAUAUUAUAUACAUAUAAGAAACAUAUAAUUAAUUGAUUUCAUAUUUUAUUAUCUAUGCUAAUGUCAAGAAACUUUCUCUAUGUUGUGUUUCACUAGGUUAUCUAUUGUUAAUCUUGAUAUCUAGAAUCUACUAAUUCCUAAUUAUGAAAUUUUGUAUUUGAAAUUAUGGUUUAUCUGUUUAAACCUCACCUUUUUUAGUCUUCAUACUUUAAAAUGUGCCUAUACAGCUUAAAGUUCUGUUCUAGGGUUUUAAUGUAUUCACUGCUAAUGUAGGAUUUUUGAAAUGUGGGUCAGAGGCGUUAUGAUCCCUUAUUGUUAACUACACAAAUUUCCCUAGAGUAUCUAAUCAUGUCUUAUUGUUUAUAGAGUCUCGUAUCUUUAAUACUCUUUCUUAUAUAAAGCAUGUAUAUCACAAGAAUCAAAUGUGUUACGGAUAGAGAAAAAUUCAUUAUAGCUCAAGUUAUUUUGAUUAAAUGUUUACGUAAUAAAUUAUAAUAUAUGAAGGCAAUUUGUAUUUUAGCAUUAGAUCAUGACAGAUAAAAGUACUUUUUAGUGACAUCUUAAGCAUUUCACGGUAUAAUUCAAAUAUUAUAUUUAUUUUAUAUUGAAUAAUGUUUGUUCUAAUUGGCCUUACAAAAUUAGAUAUCUGAUUUUUAAGUAUUUCAUGGUAUAAUUCAAAUAUAGGUUGAAGUUUCUCAAGGAACUUAUUUAAACAAAAUAUCCAACUUAAAAAAUUGUUCACUUAAGCGUUUACCAAUCAAAAAAGAGAUGCUACAAAUAUCAAUAUAUUAUUUUUCACUUAAGGGUUUCCAAAUCAAAGAAGAGAAAUGCUAACAAAUAUCAAAACAUUCUUUGCUACUUUCUUUGAAGGCUUAUAGAAUUUCUACUCUCUAUUAAUAAUCAUGUCCAUUCUACUGUAAAGAAAAGCAUAAAAUUCACUGUUUUAAAUUGCGAUGGCAUUUCAUUGAUACAGUUUUGUUGAGAUCUUACCAUUGCAGAACACUAUCAGAUAUGGACAGAGAGCACAAAAACUUUGACAUUGUGACCUUUUCUUUAAAUAUUUGCACUAUAUACUUAAAAGAAUUCGAUUUAUACAUUAUUGACCGAUUAAAAAUUAAAAAUCCUGUAAGUUCAAUUUCAAAAUAAUUAUGGUAAAAGUCAAGUAAAUUAUAAUGCAUAAUAUGAUUGAAUGACGGUAUAUGGAAUGACCACCCUUUACAAAUCUAUUUACUCUACUAAAAAUACAUGUUUUUCUUUAUCAUAUUUAACAGUUUUACAUCACUUAAAAAUCGAAAUUUAAAAUAGUUUAAAUAUUCUUUUCUACUUUUUGAUACUUUUUUAAAGAUAAAAGUGUAAGAAGAAUUAUUUGUGUGUAUUUUGUAUGAUUUGAUUUCAGUGAUGUAAACUAUUCUUUUCUUUGUUUGGUUUGAUUGUGAAUGCAUGGAUUAAUAUAGGGAUGUGAUGUUUGAAUAAUGACCAAUGGAUUGGUAAUAACCUUCCUUUUUAAAAUAUUAUUAUUGGGUGAUACGAUACAUGUUUCUUUGCAUGUUAUGUUUUUAUUUACAAUGUUGAACCAACCUUGUUUUGAUGAAUAGACUUACUCACUAAAACAAGACUUGUCUCUUCAUCAAAAUCGAACGUACUAAAGUAUUAAAAUUAAAAAAUUUAUAAAAUAUAUCUUAUAUAAAAGAGAUUUAAAGGUUGAGAAAAGAAAUAAUAAAAUUUUUAAAUUUAUAAUUAAAUUUGAAUGUAAUGUUUAUAUAUUUAAAAAGUUUUUAAAGUAUACAAAGGUUUAGUAGACAAAAAAAUUCUUACUCAUAAGAAAUGACAUACUUUAAACACAGUGAUAUUUUAAUAAUUUUUAUUUUUAAUUAAAAUAUCAGCAUCACUCACUCCACUUCCCUCGUUUAUCCAAUUUGUUUCUCUCUCAUCUUUAUUCUUUUUCUCACUCACACACAACAACACGUCACACUCCAAUUCGUUUAACUAAUUGGAGUGUCACUUUAAUAACCAAAUAAUCUAUGAUGUUGAUUUUUUAUUGAAGGGUUGUGUUAUAUCUUUUUCCUUUUCAUUGCCAUAACCAAAUAGUUUAUGAGGUUUGAUACUUUGACUAUUAUUUGGCCUCCUUUGUUUGGUCGCUUCCUUUAUUUGUUUUGCAAAACAUUUAAUAACGAAAUAAAUGAUAUGCUUUAAAAGUUAAAAUCAUGUUGAUUUGCAAGGUGGAAAAUCAUGUUGAUUUGCAAGGUGGAAAAUCAUUACUGAUGUGAAAAAUCAUUACUUAUGUUUAUUUUAUUUUAGUAUAUUUUUAGGUUGGACUUUUCUCUAAAUUUUCAUAAGCAUAAUAACAUCCGAAGGAAUUGGUAAUUGGCCUGGAGUGCUUUUUAGAGAUGAUGAUUCAACAUCCGAAGAUGAUAAGAUUGGAGAGGAGAGGUUCGUAAAGACGAUGAAAUUGAAGAGGUCUUGAAUGAACCUUUGCCUAAAAGGGAAAAUGUCAAUGAACUCUUUACAAAGGUGAAUGGUUUAACAGCAACGCAAAUGCUUACAAUUUGUAUUGUUUAUUUGCAAAGACUUGUGGUUUUUCAGUUAGACGUGGUCAUAAUUACAAACGAAACAAGAAUAACAUUAAAGAUAUAUAGAAGAGAGUUUAUUUGUCACCGAAACAAGUGUUGUUAAACAAAAAAAAAAUACUGUUACAUCUUGAACUUGAACUUUUUCGCUUCCUUUGUUUUUCUACUUUCAGUAAUUUCUUUUUGUUUAAAGACACUUGUUAGAUGACAAGUAAACUCUCUUUUGUAUAUAUCUUCAAUGUUAUUUUAGUUUCGUUUAUAACUAUGAUCACAUCUAAGUGAAAACCAC
rnacentral:lncRNA from 1 species